GGGAGGCGCUGAGAUUCCGGGUCCCGCAGCCGCGGGCAGCGGGUGCCUGUUAGCUACCGUGGCUCUCGGUCUCUUCUUUUCGCCUUUUUGGGACACCGGAUCCACCUGAGAGCACGGGGCUAGGAGAGCAGCCCAGGCUGCGUCAGAGUCUCAGGGAAUAGAAUUCAGCUCGGUUCUCCGUCCCAGCCCUCUGAGAAGGCGGGAGGGAAUGUUUGAGUCCCGGACGACUUUUCCCGUCCGGAGAGCGGCAGCCAGUGCAGCCGGUGGCUUGAGGGAGGAAGCUGUGUGUGAGUUUCCUAGGUGUCUAGUAUCUCCUCUUAGAGACUGGUCUAAGAAUCGCUGAAGUUGAUGAAGUGGAGAAGACCCUCAUCUGCAGAGGAGGAUAUCCCAGGACACAUGUGCAGAAGAUAAGGAUUAUUCAUAUUCACCACCCAACAGCAUUUUGCUGUGCUUGGAUCUCAGGAUCUCAUUGUGGAGUGAACAAUAUGUUCUUCCAUAACAGGAGAGUUAAUGAAAAUAAUUUCUACUUGAGGUUCCUUUCUCUCUGCCUGCCUCCCAUCCUGUCAAAGCAAAGCCUUGGGUAUAUGAAGCUGGGAAGUGAAAGGAGCCAACUGAGGAGAAGGAAGGAACUGCUCAGAGGAGGACCCCAGAGCAGUCACCAUCUUCUUCCUAACACCACCCCAGGGAGCUUCCUCCAAUCUAUAUUUCACAGAUAUCUGGAGUUCAUGUGUGGAAUGAAGGAGACCCAUCUUCUUGUUCUCCAGUGGGUAAUGCCAUAGCCUGCAUACAUCACUCAAGGCCUAUCUCCCUCCUGCAUCCAUGUCACACAGAAUCUGUCUCUGUGGGCUCUGUGUUCUGCUGUGUUGUCAGGGGCUAGUACCACAGUUUCACUAUAAUACUAUAAUAAUAAAACAAUAUUAUAAGAUUUGAUAUGUAGGUGGUAAAAUUUUUCCUGUUCCUUUUAGUUUUAUCUUUGAACAAUUUUGGCAUUUUAACUCUUUCACAUAGAUUUUGGGGUCAUCGUGUAUAGCUUUAUUGGAAAAAAUGCCACCCAAACUUGAAUUGUAAUUGCACUAAAUUUACAUAUUAAGUUGCAUUCAAUGUAUGUAUUGUUUAUGUGAUCAAAAAUUUCCAACACUGAUUAUAGUGCAUUUAUCUGUUUUGUUUGUUUCACGAUUUUCAUUAACAUUUUGAAAAUAUUGUUUCUUUGUAGAUUAAAAAGUAAUUUAUUCCCCUUAA
rnacentral:lncRNA from 1 species